rnacentral:rRNA from 1 species
UACAGAGGGUGCUAGCGUUGUUCGGAAUCAUUGGGCGUAAAGGGCGUGUAGGCGGUUUGUUAAGUCAUGUGUGAAAUCCCUCGGCUCAACCGGGGAACGACGCAUGAAACUGGCAGGCUAGAGUACCAAAGAGGGGGGUGGAAUUCCCGGUGUAGCGGUGAAAUGCGUAGAUAUCGGGAGGAAUACCGGUGGCGAAGGCGGCAUCCUGGACCGAGAUUGACGCUGAACGGCGAAAGCUAGGGGAGCAAACGGG